GUCCGUGGUCCUCGCACCCGCGCUCGGCAAGGGGAUGUGGGUUCAAUCCCUGGUCGGGGAACUAAGAUCCCACAUGCUGCGGGGCAACUAAGCCCACAUGCCACAACUGCUGAGCUUGAGCACCACAAACUACGGAGCCCACACGCCCUGGAGCCCAUGCGCCUUAACUAGAGAGGAAAAAAAAAAAAAACCACACCACAACUAGAGAAAAGCCUGCGCAUCACAACAAAGAGCCUGCACCUCUACGAAAAGAUCCUGCAUGCCUCAAUGAAGAUCCCGCAUGCCGCAACUAAGACCCGACACAGCCAAAAAAAUAAAGAAAAUAAAAUUCAAAAUAAAAAAAAAGGGCUUCCCUGGUGGCACAGUGGUUAAGAAUCCGCCUGCCAAUGCAGGGGACACAGGUUCGAGCCCUGGUCCAGGAAAAUCCCACAUGCUGCAGAGCAACUAAGCCCAUGAGCCACAACUGUUGAGCCUGCGCUCUAGAGCCCGUGAGCCACAGCUACUGAGCCCAUGUGCCACAACUACUGAAGCCCGCGCACCUAGAGCCCGUGCUCCGCAACAAGAGAAGCCACCACCAUGAGAAGCCCGCGCACCGCAACACACAGUAGCCCUCGCUCGCUGCAACUAGAGAAAGCCCGCGCGCAGCAAUGAAGACCCAACGCAGCCAAAAAUAAGUAAAUAAAAUAAAUUUAUAAAAUAAUAAAUAAAUAAAAAAUGAUUAGG